rnacentral:rRNA from 1 species
UACGGGGGGGGGCAAGCGUUGUUCGGAAUUACUGGGCGUAAAGGGCUCGUAGGCGGCCAACUAAGUCAGACGUGAAAUCCCUCGGCUUAACCGGGGAACUGCGUCUGAUACUGGAUGGCUAGAGGUUGGGAGAGGGAUGCGGAAUUCCUGGUGUAGCGGUGAAAUGCGCAGAUAUCAGGAGGAACACCGAUGGCGAAGGCAGCUCGCUGGGACGGUACUGACGCUGAGACGCGAAAGCGUGGGGAGCAAACAGG